AGCGCUGUGGUUGAGCAGGUGAAAGCACCUGUCUUAUAAACAGGAGAUCCUGGGUUCAAAUCCCAGCAGUGCCU
rnacentral:tRNA from 2 species